UUUGAUUAUUCUAUUCACACCAUUUUAUACUAAAAUGACUUAAAUAUAGAUAAGCAUAAAUCAUAAUAUACAACAUUUUGAUCUUUCUCACCAAUUUAUAGUCCUUUCAUCAAGGACAUUGGAGUUGUUCACCUCAAAAGGUUGAACAAGUUGAAUGAAAAGAUCCCUUUGAAGUAUGUCCCAACCAUUUGACUGUUUGAAGCCCUUUUCGUGGGCAAAUUCUCAGUAGAAUGACAAAAUAUUCAGAUACAAUUUAAGUUGGAAUAAUGAACUACUGGACACCAACAUGGACUUUUCUAUUAUACAAAAAAAAAAGUGUACAA